CCCUCUUAUUAUAAAACGCGGUAUCAAAUAAGUAUCGGCUUUUGUACUACCUUUAAUCCACUUUUAAGUACGACCUUGAAAAAACGUUAUUACAAAACGCAGUUUAUCGCAAGUCCUAUUACUAUCUGUAGUACAAAAGAUAAACCAUCGAGCCCCCUAGUUUAACUGCAGUACUUAGUCGACAAACGUCAAAUUCCGACAUUAUUUACUUUUGAGGUUAUUUGUUUUGUAAAGAAAAAAACGAAAGUGGAUAUAAAUAUGUGUGAUUUGGAAUACUUGGAUGUGUUAAAAUACUAUUGAGAGUGUCCGGGGACCCAACAGAAUGCGUCAUCGACAAAAUCUCUUCAAAUUACCUGACGACAAUUUUCGAUAUAAAUAUCGAUUUACGUUUUUCGAAAUAAUAGUCAAUUGAAUGCAUGAUGAUAAUCCAGGAUGAUUCUAUGAUGCUCAACUGGGCUCGCCAUAAAAUUCAAGACUAUUUUGGCGUUUUGCACGCCGUAUCUCUGCCAGUAAUAUGCAAUGUUUGUAAAAGACUGGAAGCUUGCUAAAAUGUACAAAAAUGCCUAGAUGAGAAAGGGAACAAGAUUGUGUGAUGAAGAACAGUGUCCAACAUGUAUCAGUGCAUUUGACUGUAUAAAUAGACAUCGGAAUAAAAUAUAAUUUUCUACUUU